rnacentral:rRNA from 1 species
UACGGGGGGGGCAAGCGUUGUUCGGAAUUACUGGGCGUAAGGGGCGCGUAGGCGGCCAACUAAGUCGGAUGUGAAAUCCCCAGGCUUAACCUGGGAACUGCAUCCGAUACUGGAUGGCUUGAAUCCGGGAGAGGGAUGCAGAAUUCCAGGUGUAGCGGUGAAAUGCGUAGAUAUCUGGAGGAAUACCGGUGGCGAAGGCGGCAUCCCGGACCGGCAUUGACGCUGAUGAGCGAAAGCGUGGGGAGCAAACAGG